GAUGGAAUUUAAGGACCUUUAUGAAUCUUUAAUUCACAAUAAUGAUCACAUUAAACCUAUUCAUAAAUUCCAUUAUCUGAGCUCUUAUCUUGAAGGGGAUGCGGCCAGAGUGAUAGCAAACUUAGAAGUCUCCGCUAACAAUUAUACUGAAGCCUGGAAAAUUUUGUGUGACAGGUUCAGUAAUAAAAGACAGCUGAUUACUAACCAUUUAAAUUCUCUAUUUAAUUUAGAACCUAUACAGCGAGAAUCGGAUAAGGCCUUAAGGUUCCUUAAUGAUCAUGUAGUUAAAAAUCUCCGGGCCCUAAAGACAUUAGGUCAACCGACAGAGCACUGGGAUACAAUUUUAGUUCACCUAUUGACGGCUAAGUUAGACGUCAAUACUAAUGCAAAAUGGGAAGAACAUAGGAACACUCUCAAAGAGUGGCCAUCACUCGAUGACUUUAGGGGAUUUCUUAGUAAUCGUGCAGACAUCUUAGAAAAUCUGUAUCGCUCUAGGAGAGAAAAACAAUCUAACCACAAGCCAGAGCCUGUGGCCAAUAAAACUUCAUUUAAACAUGAUAAAAACAUAAAAACAUUCGUGAUUUCAGAGAAACAAGAUGACCACAAGGGUCGGCCGUGCAUCGUGUGCCAUGGUGAUCACAGAGUGUACGACUGCCCAGCCUUUAAAAAGAUGUCAGUCGACGAGCGCUGGUCGCAGGCGUCACGUCUGAAGCUGUGCCAUGUCUGCCUCCGACCGGACCAUGAGACCCGUCAGUGCAAGCUGAACGGUUGCCGGAGAAACAAGAUGACCACAAGGGUAGGCCGUGCAUCGUGUGCCAUGGUGAUCACAGAGUGUACGACUGCCCAGCCUUUAAAAAGAUGUCAGUCGACGAGCGCUGGUCGCAGGCGUCACGUCUAAAGCUGUGCCAUGUCUGCCUCCGACCGGACCAUGAGACCCGUCAGUGCAAGCUGAACGGUUGCCGGGCCGCUCACGUCGCUGCCGGGCCCGCCGCUCGACGACCGCAACCCGCACCGCCUGGACCGCUACCUGAGGCUGGAGCAGCUACGGCAACACUUCUGGAAGCGCUGGUCGGCCGAGUACGUGUCUCUACAACAG
rnacentral:misc_RNA from 1 species